GCGCCUGAGUCGCCACCACCAAGCUAUGAAUCAGUUUGUGUGGUAUCAAAUGAAAAUGAUCACAGGGUACCACCACCAGACAAUGAUCAUCGGGUACCACCUCCUGACAAUACUAACUGGAUACCACCUCCUGACA